rnacentral:rRNA from 1 species
CCAGACUCCUACGGGAGGCAGCAGUGGGGGAUAUUGCACAAUGGGGGAAACCCUGAUGCAGCGACGCCGCGUGGGCGAAGAAGUAUUUCGGUAUGUAAAGCCCUAUCAGCAGGGAAGAAGAAAUGACGGUACCUGAGUAAGAAGCACCGGCUAAAUACGUGCCAGCAGCCGCGGUAAUACGUAUGGUGCAAGCGUUAUCCGGAUUUACUGGGUGUAAAGGGAGCGCAGGCGGCACGGCAAGCCUGAUGUGAAAGCCCGCGGCCCAACCGCGGGACUGCAUUGGGAUCUACCGGGCUGGAGUGCCGGAGAGGUAGGCGGAAUUCCUAGUGUAGCGGUGAAAUGCGUAGAUAUCAGGAGGAACACCGGCGGCGAAGGCGGCCUGCUGGACCGUGACUGACGUUGAGGCUCGAGAGCGUGGGGAGCAAACAGGAUUAGAUACCCGUGUAGA